rnacentral:lncRNA from 14 species
AUGAGUGACUGCUUAGAUUGCUCAAAUUAUAGUUUAUUAAUAUUCAUUACAACUAAUACUGUCUUAUUUGCCACUCUUACAGGAAUUCCAUAUAAACAACUGACUGUGGGUGUCCCCAAGGAGAUAUUUGAGAAUGAGAAGAGAGUGGCUCUGUCACCGGCUGGAGUUCAAGCCUUGGUUAAGCAAGGCUUCAAUGUUGUGGUGGAAUCUGGUGCUGGAGAAGCUUCUAAAUUUUCUGAUGACCAUUACAGAGAAGUUGGAGCAAAGAUUCAGGGGACCAAGGAAGUCUUGGCUUCUGAUUUGGUUGUGAAAGUGAGAGCUCCUAUAUAUAACUCAUCUCUAGGUGUACAUGAGGCAGAUCUUUUCAAGACAGCAGCAACCCUGAUUAGUUUUAUCUACCCAGCACAAAAUCCAGAUCUCCUGAAAAAACUUGCAGAAAAAAAAGCUACUGUUUUGGCUAUGGAUCAGGUUCCACGGGUCACCAUUGCUCAGGGAUAUGAUGCACUUAGCUCCAUGGCCAACAUUGCUGGUUACAAGGCUGUGGUCCUGGCAGCAAAUCACUUUGGUCGAUUUUUCACGGGUCAAAUCACAGCUGCUGGUAAAGUUCCUCCAGCAAAGGUGCUGAUCAUUGGAGGAGGGGUUGCUGGCCUGGCUUCUGCAGGAGCAGCAAAAUCAAUGGGUGCAGUGGUUCGUGGAUUUGAUACUAGAGCUGCAGCCCUAGAACAGUUCAAGUCUCUUGGUGCUGAGCCAUUGGAAGUAGACAUAAAGGAAUCUGGAGAGGGACAAGGAGGUUACGCUAAAGAAAUGUCCAAAGAAUUUAUUGAAGCUGAAAUGAAACUCUUUGCCAAACAGUGCCAAGAUGUUGACAUUAUCAUCACUACAGCACUUAUUCCAGGCAAAAAAGCUCCAAUCUUGUUUAAGAAAGAUAUGAUUGAAUCUAUGAAGGAAGGUUCAGUUGUUGUGGAUUUAGCUGCAGAAGCAGGAGGAAAUAUUGAGACUACAAAGCCUGGAGAAAUGUAUGUUCAUAAGGGUGUUACACACAUUGGGUACACAGAUCUGCCUAGCAGAAUGGCUACUCAGGCCAGUACUCUGUAUUCUAAUAAUAUUAUCAAACUUCUAAAAGCUAUUAGUCCUGACAAAGAGAACUUCUACUUUGAUCCAAAAGAUGACUUCGACUAUGGGACUCUGGAUCAUGUUAUUAGAGGAACUGUAGUAAUGAAGGAUGGCAAAGUGAUUUUCCCGACACCUCCACCAAAAAACAUUCCUCAGGGAGCACCAGUGAAGCAGAAGACUGUAGCAGAGCUGGAAGCAGAAAAAGCAGCUACUAUUACACCUUUCAGAAAAACCAUGACUACUGCAUCUAUAUACACAGCAGGUUUAGCUGGUAUGUUAGGGCUGGGCAUUGUAGCACCUAAUGAUGCUUUCACACAAAUGGUGACAACGUUUGGCCUCUCUGGGAUAGUGGGGUACCACACAGUGUGGGGUGUGACUCCUGCUCUGCACUCCCCCCUCAUGUCUGUGACUAAUGCUAUCUCAGGUCUGACUGCAGUUGGUGGGCUGGUACUGAUGGGAGGACACUAUCUCCCUCAAGACAUUUCCCAAAGCCUAGCAGUGCUUUCAACCUUUAUAUCUUCAGUCAAUAUUGCAGGUGGCUUUUUAGUUACACAGAGAAUGCUGGAUAUGUUCAAACGUCCCACAGACCCUCCUGAGUACAACUACUUGUACCUGCUCCCUGGUGGUGUAUUUGUAGGAGGCUAUGCAGCUGCUCUCAGCAGUGGCUAUUACAUUGAACAAGUGAUGUAUCUGGGUUCUGGACUGUGCUGUGUUGGUGCCCUGGCUGGUUUGUCUACCCAAGGAACAGCUCGUCUGGGAAAUGCUUUGGGUAUGAUUGGUGUUGCAGGAGGUUUAGCCGCAACUCUUGGAAGCCUCAAUCCCACUCCUGCAUUGUUGGCACAGAUGUCAGGUGCAAUGGCACUUGGUGGGACAAUAGGUUUGACAAUUGCUAAACGCAUCCAGAUUACAGAUCUGCCUCAGCUGGUGGCUGCUUUCCACAGUUUGGUUGGUUUGGCUGCUGUGCUCACCUGUGUAGCAGAGUACAUGAUUGAAUAUCCUCACUUCUCCGGCAACCCUGCUGCAAACCUCACCAAGAUUGUGGCAUAUCUUGGCACGUACAUUGGUGGAGUCACAUUCAGUGGCUCUCUUGUUGCAUAUGGAAAACUGCAAGGUAUCCUGAACUCUGCACCUCUGCUCUUGCCUGGUCGGCAUGCAUUGAAUGCAGGAUUGCUGGCUGCCAGCUUUGGAAUUACUUGCCUGGGUUCUGUGUCAGCAUUGUCAGCCAUAAUGGGUGUUACUUUAACAGCAGCUAUUGGAGGUGCUGACAUGCCUGUAGUUAUUACUGUCCUGAACAGUUACUCUGGAUGGGCUUUGUGUGCUGAGGGCUUUCUCCUGAACAACAACUUGCUGACCAUUGUUGGUGCGCUCAUCGGCUCCUCUGGGGCCAUCCUCUCUUACAUCAUGUGUGUGGCUAUGAACCGUUCCCUUGCAAAUGUGAUUCUUGGGGGCUAUGGCACUGCAUCAACAGCUGGUGGGAAACCUAUGGAAAUUACUGGAACUCACACAGAAAUCAAUUUGGACAAUGCAGUUGAAAUGAUAAAAGAAGCUAAUAGCAUUAUUAUUACUCCAGGUUAUGGCUUGUGUGCAGCAAAAGCUCAGUACCCAAUAGCUGAUCUGGUGAAGAUGUUGAGAGAACAAGGGAAAAACGUCAGGUUUGGUAUUCACCCUGUGGCUGGCCGUAUGCCUGGUCAGCUGAAUGUACUGCUAGCAGAAGCUGGUGUUCCCUAUGAUAUUGUACUGGAAAUGGAUGAAAUCAAUGAAGACUUCCCAGAGACUGACUUGGUCCUUGUAAUUGGUGCAAAUGAUACAGUUAAUUCAGCAGCUCAGGAAGAUCCAAACUCUAUCAUAGCUGGAAUGCCAGUUCUUGAGGUCUGGAAGUCCAAACAGGUCAUUGUAAUGAAGAGAUCUCUGGGAGUUGGUUAUGCAGCGGUGGACAAUCCCAUCUUCUACAAGCCCAAUACUGCCAUGUUGUUGGGCGAUGCUAAAAAGACCUGUGAUGCCCUGCAGGCCAAAGUCAGGGAAUCGUACCAAAGCUAA